AGUGAACGCUGGCGGCAGGCCUAACACAUGCAAGUCGAGCGGCAGCGCGGGGGCAACCCUGGCGGCGAGCGGCGGACGGGUGAGGGAGUCGUCGGAAGCUGUCUUUUUGUGGGGGAUAACGUAGGGAAACUUACGCUAAUACCGCAUACGUCCUACGGGAGAAAGUGGGGGACCGCAAGGCCACACGCAGAAAGAUGAGCCGACGACCGAUUAGCUAGUUGGUGGGGUAAAGGCCUACCAAGGCGACGAUCGGUAGCUGGUCUGAGAGGGUGAUCGGCCACACUGGAACUGAGACACGGUCCAGACUCCUACGGGAGGCAGUAGUAGGGAAUCUUCCGCAAUGGGCGAAAGCCUGACGGAGCAACGCCGCGUGAGUGAUGAAGGUCUUCGGAUCGUAAAACUCUGUUAUUAGGGAAGAACAAAUGUGUAAGUAACUAUGCACGUCUUGACGGUACCUAAUCAGAAAGCCACGGCUAACUACGUG
rnacentral:rRNA from 1 species